GAUGAAGAACGCAGUGAAAUGCGAUAAGUAAUGUGAAUUGCAGAAUUCAGUGAAUCAUCGAAUCUUUGAACGCACAUUGCGCCCGCCAGUAUUCUGGCGGGCAUGCCUGUCCGAGCGUCAUUUCAACCCUCGAACCCCUCCGGGGGGUCGGCGUUGGGGACCUCGGGAGCCCCUAAGACGGGAUCCCGGCCCCGAAAUACAGUGGCGGUCUCGCCGCAGCCUCUCCUGCGCAGUAGUUUGCACAACUCGCACCGGGAGCGCGGCGCGUCCACGUCCGUAAAACACCCAACUUCUGAAAUGUUGACCUCGGAUCAGGUAGGAAUACCCGCUGAACUUAAGCAUAUCAAUAAGCGGAGGA
rnacentral:misc_RNA from 1 species